AUUGAACGCUGGCGGCAUGCUUUACACAUGCAAGUCGAACGGUAACAGGUUAAGCUGACGAGUGGCGAACGGGUGAGUAAUGUAUCGGAACGUGCCCAGUCGUGGGGGAUAACGUAGCGAAAGCUACGCUAAUACCGCAUACGAUCUGUGGAUGAAAGCGGGGGACCGUAAGGCCUCGCGCGAUUGGAGCGGCCGAUAUCAGAUUAGGUAGUUGGUGGGGUAAAGGCCCACCAAGCUAACGAUCUGUAGCUGAUCUGAGAGGACGACCAGCCACACUGGGACUGAGACACGGCCCAGACUCCUACGGGAGGCAGCAGUGGGUAAUUUUGGACAAUGGGGGCAACCCUGAUCCAGCAAUGCCGCGUGCAGGAAGAAGGCCUUCGGGUUGUAAACUGCUUUUGUACGGAACGAAAAGGCUCUGGUUAAUACCUGGGGUUUAUGACGGUACCGUAAGAAUAAGCACCGGCUAACUACGUGCCAGCCGCCGCAGUAAAAC
rnacentral:rRNA from 1 species